GUGACUCCCUCAUCACCUAUCAAUGUGUUGCUUUCAUUACUUUUAAGUUCAAAAAACAAUAUAAACAAUAAUCCAUCAAAACUUCAGAUUUCUAAUCUGCUACGAAGGUUCGCGAGAAAGUCCAGCGAUUAUCAGCAUAACUAUUGAAUUGGUCUGUGAUUCUUAUAUCUACAACUCCCAAUGAAUACUCCUUUAAUUCUAGCUAUACUUUCAGAUCCCAGCUAGUGUUAACAUUUUGGACAAUGGCUAAUGGACAAUGCCCUCCAAAGCGGAGGCUGAAGCCAAUCAAGUUGUCCACUCCUGUUGUUCAAAUCCAAGUAAGUUACUUAUAUUCUAUGAUAAUCAUAAGUAGCUUAUAUUCUAUGUGAUUUGUUUAAAUGGCAUAACACUUUUGAUAUACAGAUGCACUUGAUAAUAAUGUUUAAUAAUGUGAUUUAUAAAAUUUGUUUCAAUUGCUUUGUGAUCCUAAGGUUGUGUUAUCAUCUAAAAACUCAUCUAAUAUAUAGCUAUUAUGCUUAGUUAGAAAUAGUUUUGUUACUAAGCUUGAUUUAUAAAAAUUUAUAUAAUGAGAAGUAAAGGAAUCUAAGUACCUGAUUCAUAAGCUACUUUAGAUCAAAAUAUCCAGAAUGCAUACUCCAACUUAGCCUACUGUUGAUGAAGCUUAUGCAUUCAAAUAAGAUUUCUGAACACUUCUUGAAUACGACAUUGUCUGUCAUUGUUCUGUUAUCAUCAUCAUGACAUAACAAUAUCUCAAGUCUCUCCCUAUUUGUCACCUAGAUGCUUGAUAAACUUCAUUUGUAGGGUUUAUCUUGUAUUAAUUUUAGGGGAUUUUAUCACUUUUUACCCACAUUUAUUCAAUGAAAUAGCAAGGGUUUGUAUAUUCUCCUUUAAUUGUGCUUAACAGUGAAAACAUGCUUUUUAGGUCUUAAAAUAGAUAAAUGUAAUUUACCUUGAUUCCAUUAGAUGCCUUGAUAUGUUUGUUAAGUGAUUUCAGAUUUAGGAGGCAAAGAUUGGAUUAAGGGAAUGAAGAAAAAGCAUGUAAAGUUAGAGAACUCAUGAAGAAAUGAUGGAACCAAAAAGCUGUCAAGUCUGACCUCUUCGCACUUAAUUGACCAUAACUUGAGUUACAGAGGUCCAAAUGAUACGGUUCUAGUUGGGUUGGAAAGCUAACAUCCGGGGCUUCGAAACGAUAUAAGAUUUGCCAUAGUUGCAUCGCGCAUAGGGGCGCGCACGCGCACGGUACGCGGACGCGCCGAUGGUGGCACAUGACCCACUUAAUGCAACACAUGGCCAGCGAUUUUAGAAGCCUUGUGGGCCCAAUCCAACUUAUUUCUGAUGCUAUUUAAGCCAAGGAUUGAAGAGGAAUCAACAUACUUUUGAUCAUUAGUCAUAGUUUAGUUUUAGAAGUAGUUAGAGUUAGAGAGAGAAGCUCUCUCUUCUCUCUAGAAUUAGGAUUAGGAAUUAGGGUUAGAUUAGGAUCUCAUAGUUCUAGGUUUAAUUCAAGUCUCCUUCUACUUCUACCUUCAAUUGAUGAUUGCUACACUUUGGUUCUUCUUUCUAUCCCUAU